UGUGCCAGCCGCCGCGGUAAUUCCAGCUCCAAUAGCGUAUAUUAAAGUUGUUGCAGUUAAAACGUCCGUAGUCAAACUUUAGUCUUACUGGCGUAGUGGCCUGGUCUUCAUUGACCAAGCUCAUUGCUGCCGGAGACUCCAUGUUCAUUAGGGGAAAAUCUCUAGGGGUUUUUUUCUUAUUUGAACAAUUACCAUGAGCAAAUCAGAGUGUUUAAAGCAGGCUUUUAAGCUUGAAUGUGUUAGCAUGGAAUAAUGAAAUAUGACUUUAGUCCUAUUUUCGUUGGUUUAGGUACUUCAGUAAUGAUGAAUAGAAACGGUUAGGGGCAUUUGUAUUUGGUCGCUAGAGGUGAAAUUCUUGGAUUGACCGAAGACAAACUACUGCGAAAGCAUUUGACCCGGGACGUUCUCAUUGAUCAAGGUCUAAAGUUAAGGGAUCGAAGACGAUUAGAUACCGUCGUAGUCUUAACCACAAACUAUGCCGACUAGAGAUUGGGCGUGUUUAUUAUGACUCGCUCAGCAUCUUAGCGAAAGUAAAGUUUUUGGGUUCUGGGGGGAGUAUGGGACGCAAGGCUGAAACUUAAAGGAAUUGACGGAAGGGCACCACCAGGAGUGGAGCCUGCGGCUUAAUUUGACUCAACACGGGGAAACUCACCAGGUCCAGACAUAGUAAGGAUUGACAGAUUGAAAGCUCUUUCUAGAUUCUAUGGGUGGUGGUGCAUGGCCGUUCUUAGUUCGUGGAGUGAUUUGUCUGGUUAAUUCCGAUAACGAACGAGACCUUAUUCUGCUAAUUAGACAGGCCAACUCU
rnacentral:rRNA from 1 species